CUUAUGCUGGGUGGUUUAUGCACAAAUUUGCUUGAAUUUAAAUUAUUUUAAAUAUCAGUGGAAUAAUUCUAUAAUUUAUCCUGUACAAUAACUUGAUUACAAUUUACAGCAUUUUCCACAACCGAAGGAUACAUUAUGCUGGAAAAAUAACCCCCCCAGAUCUUCAAUAAAGGAAAGAGACCUGAACAGAAUGCUGUAAUCACUAGCGUUACUUUCAACUAUGAGCAAUAGCAAAAGCAGAGCUGGUCGACUUGAAGAACUUUGCAAGCAUUAAUUAAUUAAGCCUUACAACAUCCAUGUGAGGGUGAAGCUCCGGGGCAUCUGUGAGUAACUAAGGAACACACUGGUAUCUUGCCAGGUAAAAGUAUAGAGCCCGUCGAACAUGGAGGGAAUGUAGUCAACAUUCUGCUGCAGAUGCAUGUGGUUUCAGAAAGAAAACAGGGAAACCAGAAGAAUGGAACCAAGACUCCCCAUGCAUGACUACGGCCAUAGCCAGGGGCCUGGAGGAGGUAUCUGCUGCAUCCACUGCCAAUUGGAGGGCCAUUCUGGCCACCAGCUUUCCUUCCUCAAUAAGCGCCUCAAAACAAGCCUAACCACGUUGUGGCAGGCUAUCAAUAAAUUCCUCUAAUUUACUGUAAUUCAGGAAGUCACAUUUGCCUAGUAAAGCCUGAUGAUUUGCAAUCCUGAAUUGCAGGCUAGACAAAGAAAAUACCUUGCUUCCCAAAAGAUCCAGAUGCUUGCCCUAUUUAUCAGCUGGCAUAGAUCAAGGGUGUUGUUUGGCUCACUCGGUCGCAGCCUGGACUACUAGGAAGUUCGGAGGAUGAUGAGAAAAAAGGAACUCAGAACCCUUGGAAGGAACAUAAUAGCACUUUUUGGCCCCUUUAGGGGUAGCUGUGCAUGUGGCAGAUGUGCGUCACGCUGUCCUGGCAGGCUCCAGAAUAGCUUUGUUAAUUGGUAAUGCAAUUCUCGCCAGACCUGACAUGUGGAAGAUAUCUAGCAGCUUGUGUUGGGGUUUUGAAUUUCUUCCAGGGGAAUCUGAAUCCGCAACAGGUCCUGAAAUUGUCUAAAGUAAUCCGGGGAGGAAGGGGAUGCUGUAGUCACUGCCUCAUCCGGAGAUGAAGAGGGAAAUCUUGCUGGUUUCAGUGGCAUUGCUGGAACUGGAGUAAAGGGUUCCUUCUUUACCACCAGAUUCAAACACCUGCCUGAAAGAUCCCUUAAAAGGGAGGCAGACAAAUGUUCCCUCAUAGAUCAGACAGGUUCCGAGGGGAGGUACUUGUGCCCAGUGUCCCCAGUAUGCCCAAUAGGGUGGUUCUGAGGGAGGUUGUGGGGGUCUCCAUGGCAUGGGGUACCAAUGAUUCUGAGGUGGUAGAUGCUGCCAUGGAUGUGACAGUAUCCAAGAAGGUGCAUAGGAAUGGUAUGACACAGGUGGUUCUCUCCGGUGGUUCUUCUGAUUCAUUGGAAGAGGAGAAGGCGGACUCUGGUUCCAAUGGCAAUACCGUCAGAGCUGGUGGAAAAGCAUAGCAUAUCUGUGCAGAGGAUGAGGGAUCCCGUACCGGAGGCAUAUCCCAGAGUGGAAAUAUGAUCUCUCUAGAAGUGGAGGGACCCAAUGGAGGGGGUGACUCUGGGUCCAGCAAUGCAAACACAUCUUGAGGUUUGGCCACAAUUCUGGAUCUCCCUGAAGUAAGAGGCACUCUCUUUUCUGGGCAUCAGUGCUGGCGAUGUGCUCUUUCCCAGAAUCUUGUGGGCUGAUGGUGCUGGUGGUAUUGAUGGAUUGGUGCUCAGAACUGCUGGAUCCCAUUGCUUGUGGGUCUUUUUCUCAUGUCUAUGGGACUUAGGUUAUGCUCUGUCCGCAUGCCUUCAACUUGUGGAAACAGCAUCCAUCAUCUUUGAUUUGGAGGAAGACUUAGUCCCAUGCUCAUGGAUGUGCUUCCUUACCUCCUGACUAGGCCCCGCCAUCGGGUCCAUGGGGGUGGUACUUUCAGCACUGGAUUUAGACAUGGUAGCUGGAGGCGCAUUCCUUGCUGAGUCAGGCCGAUGUACUGGGUGAGUUUCCUGGCAUGGGUCUGAGUACAGUCUCAUGGAGAGCUCCCUGAUGUGCUGCUGGAGGUGAAGAGCCUGGCCUUCUCAGGUGUGGCUGGGGAAGGACUGGCAAAUACUCUACCUGGAUGCAAUGUGAGCUUCCCCCAGGCAGUAGAGGCAAUGCUGGUGGCUGUUGCUGAUCAAGAAGGAGUGCAGGCAGGAGGUGCAGCGUUUGAAGCCUAGACUCCUGGGCAUAGUCCAGUACCUGCACAUGGGGUAGGGGAUUGAAAAUCCCCCAAAGUCUAUUUAAACGAAGUACUAAAAGUAUUGAGUAAUAAAAACUACAAUAAAAGUGGUAAAAUUA